UGAGAGGGUCAUUGGGCCAUAUAGUGGGGGGACAAUGCCUGAGGAUGACCUGAGGGGGUCACCUAAGUCCUAAAUUUGUGAGAAACAAACUACAGAGAGUGUUUUUUAUGUUAUCAAUGGAAAGUUACAGCUGCUAAGACUUUGUAACCUUGAAGCAAAGGGAUAUAAGGUGGAGGACUGCCCUCUUCCUGGGUCAGUUUCACUCUGCAGGAACUCAGUGUUGCUGUAUGACUGUCUGACCUUCUUUGCAAGGAAUAAAAGCUUUCUUUUUAAUUAUACCUGAGAAUGAGCCUGCCCGGAGGGGACACCACUGGAAUCAGAAAAGAACCUGGGUGGCAACAGAACUCUCGGGUAAGAGACAGUUCAUGGUAUUCUAAAUUUUGGGAUUUUUAGAAAUAAGGAUUGGAAUUUAAAUUAGAAAAGGGACGAACCAUAGUGGUGGGUCCUUCUCUGUGGGAAGCACAAUCAGGGUGAUUCCAGGGGAAUUGGAUUGUGAGAAUACUGUGGCACAGUUAAUACAUUUCUAAGGGGGAAUUGAAACUGCUGCAACUGGCGUGAUCAUAAUUGAGUUAGAAAUUGAGAUCGAAACGAUCCAGAUAUUUUGAAGCGAUAAGCUGAGAUCACGCGCAAGCGGUUAACAUAUUUCUAAGAGGGGAAAUGAGACUAUGCGAGUAUUGCCUCCCCGACUUGGACAGGGGAAGUCGGAUAUGUUGGAGACGUCUGACAGAUUAUAGGCGCGCCGAAGGAAAAGGUAUCCACAGAGAAGGAAACCAGCAAAUAUGGGAAAGUCUCAGAGCAAGCUCGUUGAAUAUGAUACACCGGUGUUUAGGCAAAUGAAAAAAGUGUAUGGCCAAAAAUGCAUGCAAGAUAUGGGGAAAUUAAUUAAAUACCAUGGUUUUCCAAAAGAGGGAACGUUGAGUGUUAAGAAAUUAAAAGCUGUGAAGGAAUCAGUAGAAGAGGGAAGCGAGAGACAGAAAGGUUGUUGUGUGAGACACGUGUGAGAGAUGUGAACGAACUGUGAAUUGUUGGAUAGCGGAAGCAGAUAGGAGAGAAAGGAGAACGAUGCAGAAAGAAUUAGCAAGUAGAAAGGAGGAAAAGAAAGUUGAAGAAUGUGAAGAAAAUGUAAUUGCCUCACAUAGACCUACUAACCGCUCUGAUGUUUGUGUUUCUAAACAUGUACCUCCGCCCUAUACACAUUUUCCUGUGAUUGAGUUGCAAGCCGUGAAAAUGGACCCUGACCUCGACUGCUCUCCGCCGAGAAGACCAACAGCA